AGGGAGAUGGGGUCGGGGAGGGUGCCUGUCGACGAUUGAAGGAGACGGGGCCAGAGACAAGGCCAUUGGGGGCUGGGGAUAGGGUCGGAGAUGGGGUCUGGGAGGGUGUCAGCCGGCUGAGACGGGGUCGAAAAAAAUUAUUUGAUUAAUUAUUUAAUUAAUUAUAUUUAUUGUAUAGAUUUUUUAGUGUUACUGCUGA
rnacentral:lncRNA from 1 species